AAAUUGAAGAGUUUGAUCAUGGCUCAGAUUGAACGCUGGCGGCAGGCCUAACACAUGCAAGUCGAACGGUAACAGGAAGCAGCUUGCUGCUUCGCUGACGAGUGGCGGACGGGUGAGUAAUGUCUGGGAAACUGCCUGAUGGAGGGGGAUAACUACUGGAAACGGUAGCUAAUACCGCAUAAUGUCGCAAGACCAAAGAGGGGGACCUUCGGGCCUCUUGCCAUCGGAUGUGCCCAGAUGGGAUUAGCUAGUAGGUGGGGUAACGGCUCACCUAGGCGACGAUCCCUAGCUGGUCUGAGAGGAUGACCAGCCACACUGGAACUGAGACACGGUCCAGACUCCUACGGGAGGCAGCAGUGGGGAAUAUUGCACAAUGGGCGCAAGCCUGAUGCAGCCAUGCCGCGUGUAUGAAGAAGGCCUUCGGGUUGUAAAGUACUUUCAGCGGGGAGGAAGGGAGUAAAGUUAAUACCUUUGCUCAUUGACGUUACCCGCAGAAGAAGCACCGGCUAACUCCGUGCCAGCAGCCGCGGUAAUACGGAGGGUGCAAGCGUUAAUCGGAAUUACUGGGCGUAAAGCGCACGCAGGCGGUUUGUUAAGUCAGAUGUGAAAUC
rnacentral:rRNA from 1 species